GAUGAACGCUGGCUACAGGCUUAACACAUGCAAGUCGAGGGGAAACGGCAUUGAGUGCUUGCACUGAAUGGACGUCGACCGGCGCACGGGUGAGUAACGCGUAUCCAACCUUCCCGUUACUGCGGGAUAACCUGCCGAAAGGCAGACUAAUACCGCAUGUUCUUCGAUGACGGCAUCAGAUUCGAAGCAAAGAUCCGUCGGUAACGGAGGGGGAUGCGUCUGAUUAGCUAGUUGGCGGGGCGACGGCCCACCAGGGCGACGAUCAGUAGGGGUUCUGAGAGGAAGGUCCCCCACAUUGGAACUGAGACACGGUCCAAACUCCUACGGGAGGCAGCAGUGAGGAAUAUUGGUCAAUGGGCGGAAGCCUGAACCAGCCAAGUAGCGUGCAGGAUGACGGCCCUACGGGUUGUAAACUGCUUUUAUGCGGGGAUAAAGUGAGGGACGCGUCCCUUUUUGCAGGUACCGCAUGAAUAAGGACCGGCUAAUUCCGUG
rnacentral:rRNA from 1 species